GAUCGGCCCGCGUCGGAUUAGCUAGUUGGUAGGGUAAUGGCCUACCAAGGCGACGAUCCGUAGCUGGUCUGAGAGGAUGACCAGCCACACUGGGACUGAGACACGGCCCAGACUCCUACGGGAGGCAGCAGUGGGGAAUAUUGGACAAUGGGCGAAAGCCUGAUCCAGCCAUGCCGCGUGGGUGAAGAAGGCCCUAGGGUUGUAAACCCCUUUCAGCGGGGAAGAUAAUGACGGUACCCGCAGAAGAAGCCCCGGCUAACUCCGUGCCAGCAGCCGCGGUAAUACGGAGGGGGCUAGCGUUGUUCGGAAUUACUGGGCGUAAAGCGCGCGUAGGCGGAUCUGCAAGUCGGGGGUGAAAUCCCGAGGCUCAACCUCGGAACUGCCUUCGAUACUGCGGGUCUCGAGUCCGGGAGAGGUGAGUGGAAUUCCUAGUGUAGAGGUGAAAUUCGUAGAUAUUAGGAAG
rnacentral:rRNA from 1 species